rnacentral:rRNA from 1 species
GUAGGGGGCAAGCGUUAUCCGGAUUUACUGGGUGUAAAGGGUGCGUAGGCGGCUGUGCAAGUCAGUAGUGAAAUCCAUGGGCUUAACCCAUGAACUGCUAUUGAAACUGCACAGCUUGAGUGAAGUAGAGGUAGGCGGAAUUCCCGGUGUAGCGGUGAAAUGCGUAGAGAUCGGGAGGAACACCAGUGGCGAAGGCGGCCUACUGGGCUUUAACUGACGCUGAGGCACGAAAGCGUGGGUAGCAA